AAGAAAAUAUGUUCAUCAGAAAAAAAUAAAAUAUUAGGUAAGAGAAAGGAAAAUAAAAAUGAGUCAAUAGUUAUAUGGGAAAUACAGUGAGUGAGGAAAAAGGCGUAAAAUUAAGGAGAAUAGAGAAUUCCAGAUGAAAACUUUUAUAACAGAAAAGGGCCAAAGAGGAUGAGGUUAGGCAAAAAUAGCAAGCAAUUAUUAAAAAUUCUUCAGAUUUUUAGAAAAAUCUGGAAAAAAGUGGUUAA